GACGAACGCUGGCGGCGUGCUUAACACAUGCAAGUCGAACGGAAAGGCCCUGCUUUUGUGGGGUGCUCGAGUGGCGAACGGGUGAGUAACACGUGAGUAACCUGCCCUUGACUUUGGGAUAACUUCAGGAAACUGGGGCUAAUACCGGAUAGGAGCUCCUGCUGCAUGGUGGGGGUUGGAAAGUUUCGGCGGUUGGGGAUGGACUCGCGGCUUAUCAGCUUGUUGGUGGGGUAGUGGCUUACCAAGGCUUUGACGGAUAGCCGGCCUGAGAGGGUGACCGGCCACAUUGGGACUGAGAUACGGCCCAGACUCCUACGGGAGGCAGCAGUGGGGAAUAUUGCACAAUGGGCGGAAGCCUGAUGCGGCAACGCCGCGUGCGGGAUGACGGCCUUCGGGUUGUAAACCGCUUUCGCCUGUGACGAAGCGUGAGUGACGGUAAUGGGUAAAGAAGCACCGGCUAACUACGUG
rnacentral:rRNA from 1 species